AUUGAACGCUGGCGGCAGGCUUAACACAUGCAAGUCGAGCGAGAGUCGGACGGGUGAGUAAUGUCUGGGAAACUGCCUGAUGGAGGGGGAUAACUACUGGAAACGGUAGCUACUACCUCAUACCAUCAGAUGUUCCCAGAUGGGAUUAGCUAGUAGGUGGGGUAAUGGCUCACAUAGUCGGCGAUCCCUAGCUUGGCUGAGAGGAUGACCAGCAACACUGGAACUGAGACACGGUCCAGACUCCUACGGGAGGCAGCAGUGGGGAAUAUUGCACAAUGGGCGCAAGCCUGAUGCAGCCAUGCCGCGGGUGUGAAGAAGGCCUUCGGGUUGUAAAGCACUUUCAGCGAGGAGGCGUUACUCGCAGAAGAAGCACCGGCUAACUCCGUGCCAGCAGCCGCGGUAAUAC
rnacentral:rRNA from 1 species